GUUGUAGUUCAGUGGCAGAGCAUCUGCUUUGCAUGCAGAAGGUCCAAAAUUCAAUCCCUGGCUUCUCCC